CGAAACCCGGUGAUCUAGCCAUGGGCAGGUUGAAGGUUGGGUAACACUAACUGGAGGACCGAACCGACUAAUGUUGAAAAAUUAGCGGAUGACUUGUGGCUGGGGGUGAAAGGCCAAUCAAACCGGGAGAUAGCUGGUUCUCCCCGAAAGCUAUUUAGGUAGCGCCUCGUGAACUCAUCUUCGGGGGUAGAGCACUGUUUCGGCUAGGGGGUCAUCCCGACUUACCAACCCGAUGCAAACUACGAAUACCGAAGAAUGUUAUCACGGGAGACACACGGCGGGUGCUAACGUCCGUCGUGAAGAGGGAAACAACCCAGACCGCCAGCUAAGGUCCCAAAGUCAUGGUUAAGUGGGAAACGAUGUGGGAAGGCACAGACAGCCAGGAUGUUGGCUUAGAAGCAGCCAUCAUUUAAAGAAAGCGUAAUAGCUCACUGGUCGAGUCGGCCUGCGCGGAAGAUGUAACGGGGCUAAACCAUGCACCGAAGCUGCGGCAGCGACACUAUGUGUUGUUGGGUAGGGGAGCG
rnacentral:rRNA from 1 species